AGUGAACGCUGGCGGUAGGCCUAACACAUGCAAGUCGAACGGCAGCACAGUAAUAGCUUGCUCUUACGGGUGGCGAGUGGCGGACGGGUGAGGAAUACAUCGGAAUCUACUUUUUCGUGGGGGAUAACGUAGGGAAACUUACGCUAAUACCGCAUACGACCUACGGGUGAAAGCAGGGGAUCUUCGUACCUUGCUCGAUUGACUGAGCCGAUGUCGGAUUAGCUAGUUGGCGGGGUAAAGGCCCACCAAGGCGACGAUCCGUAGCUGGUCUGAGAGGAUGAUCAGCCACACGGGAACUGAGACACGGUCCAGACGCCUACGGGAGGCAGCAGAGGGGAAUAUUGGACAAAGGGCGCAAGCCUGAUCCAGCCAUACCGCGUGGGUGAAGAAGGCCUUCGGGUUGUAAAGCCCUUUUGUUGGGAAAGAAAAGCAGCAGGUUAAUAACCCGCUGUUCUGACGGUACCCAAAGAAUAAGCACCGGCUAACUUCGUG
rnacentral:rRNA from 1 species